UACGUAGGCGGCAAGCGUUGUUCGGAAUUAUUGGGCGUAAGGGCGCGUAGGCGGUUUGCUAAGUCAGUUGUGAAAGCCCGGGCUCAACCCGGAGGGUCGGCUGAUACUGGUGGACUAGAGUACGGAAGAGGUAGCUGGAAUUCCCGGUGUAGCGGUGAAAUGCGCAGAUAUCAGGAGGAACACCGGUGGCGAAGGCGGGUCUCUGGGCCGAUACUGACGCUGGAGGAGCGAAAGCGUGGGGAGC
rnacentral:rRNA from 1 species